rnacentral:rRNA from 1 species
UACGUAGGUGGCAAGCGUUAUCCGGAAUUAUUGGGCGUAAAGCGCGCGCAGGCGGUUUCUUAAGUCUGAUGUGAAAGCCCACGGCUCAACCGUGGAGGGUCAUUGGAAACUGGGGAACUUGAGUGCAGAAGAGAAAAGCGGAAUUCCACGUGUAGCGGUGAAAUGCGUAGAGAUGUGGAGGAACACCAGUGGCGAAGGCGGCUUUUUGGUCUGUAACUGACGCUGAGGCGCGAAAGCUAGGGUAGCAAACGGG